CCACCCGCACGUAUAGAUGGACAAGAAUAGGCUUCGGCUUAGCGUCUUAGCAGGCGAUUCUUCCACGGCGCUCGAAGCGCGUCGUGGUAUUUCGCGUAUUGUAAUUUCAACACGAGCGGGGUCAAAUCCUUUGCAGACGACUUAGCUGUGCGAAACGGUCCUGUAAGCAGUAGAGUAGCCUUGUUGUUACGAUCUGCUGAGGGUAAGCCGUCCUUCGCCUCGAUUUCCCCAAUGGGUUCUCCGGAUUUCUGGAGACUUGUAGGGGUUGUGGGAUUUUUGAUGUGUCGUCUCCGGACGGGCGGUGCAGGGUAGUCGAGUUAGACUUGGUGGAAUUCCGUCGAUAGGAGUUCCGUCGAGUCUGGUCAGCUGUGUGUUGGACGGUGUAGGGUAGGCUGCUUGGACAUGGUCGGUUCGAGGAUCGAUUCGAGGGCCGGCCUGUCGAUGAUGUGUGAUGUAUGCGGUCUAGGGUAGGUUGGUUUGUCUUGGUUCGAUUUGAUGUCGGCUCCCGUGCAGGCCAGAGUGAGGGGGGUCCAGGGUAGGUGCAGGGUAGGCAGCUUAGAUUUGGUCGAUCUGGAGGUCGAUUCUCCGGCUGGCGGAUCUGACACUGUCGAAACGAGAUGCGAGGGGUGUAGGGUAGGCUAGUUUCGUACUUGCCAGGUUGCGAUUUGGACGAGAUAUGUGGUUUAGGGUAGGCUCUAGGGUAAGUAGAAUUCGAGUUUCGUCGCCGAUAGUUUUCUGUGGGUGUAUGGUAGGUACAGGGUAGGCAAAUCUCUCUCCGGCCAGUACUUGUCUCGUGGUCGUGAGUCGAUUUUUUUUGUUUUUGCCAUACUAUUGAAUUUUGCGGAAAUUCAAAAGUGGCUCGGGAGUCCCGCCUGGCGUGCGUCCGACUCG
rnacentral:rRNA from 1 species